GCACAUUUAGAACUAGAGCAUCUAGAAUCUGUAUUUUGUAGCUUUGGAGCACCCUAACUAAGAUGUAUUUUGUGUUCAAUUUUUGGUCCCUCGAGAUAUUUGUAGUUGAUUUGUUGCUCUUUAUAGCAAUUGGUCUAUAAAUUAUAUUACUCAUAUAGUAAAAUAUAUUAAUGUUAUAAAGGACAUGUAGAAAGGAGUUGUCACUAGUGUGAAAACAGUAGUAGGAGAUCCAAAAAAAUUUCCUCACCAAGGGUUCUGCAUUGAGCCUGCUACUUAUUUACCGUAGUUACGAAUGAGCUAACCAACGCAACAAAAAGGUUACAUGGUGUAUGCUAUAAGCUGAUGAUAUUGUACUAAAUUACGAAACUAGUGAGGUUGUCAACAAAAAGCUUGAGCUAUGGAGAAGCACCUUAGAGAAGGGUUCUAAGAUAUGUAUAAGUAAGAUUGAAUACAUGCAUGCCAAGUUUAGUCAGUACGAGAAGAGCGAAGUUGACUAGAUGGAAUUGCAUUGCCAAAAUGCAAACAAUUUAGAUAUCCAUGCUCAUUUCAGGAGAAUAAAGUGAUAGAUGAAGAUGUUACUCAUAGGAUUAGAACCGGAUAGUUGAAACGGAGAAGUACUACCGGGUGUUAAGUGAUAGAAGUAUUUGUACCAAGGUGAAAAGAUAAGUUCUUUAGAACAACUGUAAAACUAGUUGUGUUAUAUGCUAGUGAAUGUUAGGUUGCUAAAGGUCAAUAAAAGGAAUAAGUAUUCACAUCAUCGAUUCCAACUUGUUUGGGACUGAUGCAUAGUUGUUGUAUGUAGUCAAAUAAAUUUUAUGCUUUGAUGAGUAAUUCUUGGUCAAGACCAAGGUUAAACAUUCGAUACUAUUGGUCCCACGUGACAUGAUGUCUCAUGUUAUACAUAGUAUAGUUCCAACUCUUCCAAGUAGUAUUGCUCUGGUUAAAGUAUCUAUUACAUUAUUAUAAUCAAUAAUAGAUUUCAACUCUUCAUACAGAGGAGGAAUGGCACCUACUGUUAAUUUAGAUACUCGAGUGAAAUGAGUGUUUUUCAACUCAUGAAAAUCUUGAUUUGAACGAAAGGCUAUCUUUGUAUAAACUGUUGAACUGUUCUAGUUUAUCGCAUUAUCAGGAAUAGUUCUGUUUUUAUGCUCAGGACUUUCUGCUUGUUGCUUUAUCUUUUGUUUUCCAUACCCAUUUACAGUCUUUGGUUAUUUUGCAG
rnacentral:lncRNA from 1 species